AUGGCGACGUCCGGCGGCGGCGCCGUGAACAUAAGUGCCGCCUGCUGCUCGUCGCUGAACCAGGCGCUCGACGCCGGCCGCCGCUGCCUGUGCUCGCUGCCGCUGGCCAACGGCGUGCUCGCCGGCCUCAUCGCCACCCUCAUCCCCACGCUCCCCAUGGUGCUGCCGCUGCCCGGGUGCUACCUCUACGCGCCUCCUCUGGCGACCUGCCAAGUGACGUUGCUGCAGACGGACUAUGAUGCGCCGCCGGCAUCGCCAUCUGUGACUGCGAGCGUGGGGGAUGCUGGUGGUGGCGCGGUGGAUCCGCCGCCACCACCGACCGCGGUAAUGCCGCCGUGGAAGAAUGCUAGUGCGGCUGGGACGAAGGAUGGUGGGACGACGGACAGGAGCGCCGGCAAUGGAUCUAGGGAGGCUAGGGAGGAGCAGAGCGUUAGAAGGAGCGACGCGUGCCGGCGGCCCGGCGUUGGUGAGGGUAGGAUGUACAUGCUGAUCUUUGCGGUGGUCAUGGCUGUAUUUUUGUUCGAUUAA
rnacentral:rRNA from 1 species